rnacentral:lncRNA from 1 species
GGGUAGGCACCUGUAGAGAAAACAACAUUCUUGGUGAUAAGCUUGUAGUCUACAAUGGAGAACUGUGGCAGUUCAAUCUUUGUGACUCCCGUGACUGCAUUAUCACCCCCACGCCAGUAAAAUUCAAUGUCGUCUGUCGUAUAGCCAUAGCUCUCAAUCUCCAGCGUGCAGUUCUGUUCAUCCAGCGGAUAUCUCCGUAGGUCCAUCAUACAAGCAGCUGUUGUUGUA